rnacentral:rRNA from 1 species
UACAGAGGUGGCAAGCGUUGUUCGGAAUUACUGGGCGUAAAGGGCGCGUAGGCGGUUCUGUAAGUCCCGCGUGAAAUCCCCCGGCUCAACUGGGGAACUGCGCGGGAAACUGUGGGGCUAGAGUUCAGGAGAGGGAAGCGGAAUUCCGGGUGUAGCGGUGAAAUGCGUAGAUAUCCGGAGGAACACCGGUGGCGAAGGCGGCUUCCUGGACUGACACUGACGCUGAGGCGCGAAAGCUAGGGGAGCAAAAGGG